CUCUGUGUGUAGGGGCCGGGCCUUGGGCGGGGGUUCGGGAUCGGCCAUGCGCACCUGAGGGAGGUUUGCAAAUGGGGUGUGUUGCAAUGCUGAGGCACAGGGGAGCUGGGUAUCUCGAACAGGCCCUCCGUCCUGGGUGUGUGCCAAGGCACCAGAAAGGUGCUGGGACACGUUUCGCUUCUGUGUUUCCGUGGAUGGGACUGGUCUGGCGCCACAGCGACCUUAGCCGCCCAGCUGGAGGGUUUGGGUGGGAGGGGCCCUGUUGGGGCCACUUGAGGUUGAAUUUCAGUUUUUGGCCUUGCACCUGAAGUGCCUGCAGGAUAUGCUCAGUUUUGACCUGGCUGGGCAUUCUGUCAGGGGUGUGACCCAGGAGAGCCUAACAGCUGAUGCAGAUAGCAGUUCUGUCCAGCUGGCCUUGCCAGGCUAGGCUAGGCUGUGGAGAGGGAGGGCUGACUAGUCCAUUUCUGAACUACAGUGAGUCACCCGGUCCAGGGUCUUGAGUCAGUGCUCCUUCUCCCUCUGAGUGGGGAAAAGUAUGUCAGAAUAAAUUGAAGAAACAAGGAAGCAGCGUUAGGUUUUAGGGACUUUGAGGUAUGCAGGAGUAAAGAGCUGGGGGAUACAGAGCUGUUUCUCAUAGCAGGUCUCCAGUAACUGUAAGUUUAUCCUGUCUAAAGAUGACAUCCUUUUUUUCCUUCAGUGCUGGAGUUUUUAAUCCUGGGGCCUUGAGCAUGCUAGGCAAGUGCUCUACUACCUUCCCAGCCUUAAAAAUUUUUUUGAGACAGGGUCUUGCUAAGUUGUGCAAGCUGGCCUUAAAUUUGAAAUCCUCCUGCUUCAGCCUCCCCCCUGAGUAGCAGGCCUACAGGCAUGUGCCACUAUGACUGUUGAAAGCUGACUUUUAAUGGAAUCUGUUUUUAAAGCAUUUUAAAUUUAGAGUAAACAGACUGGUGAUUCAGACAUUUGACCUCCCGCAUGCAGUAGGUGCUCUGGCAUGUGGUUGAAUGUGUGCUUCCUCACCAGUGCCUUUAGUGCCUGAGUCGCACUGUUCCUUGACCUGGGCAACUGAUAGCAGCAGACCGAAUGCCCAUCAGCUUGUCUUUCACUGGUGUCUGUGCCAAGCAAAGCCGCUGCUCUCCGCUUAGGCAUGGCUCCUAUGAACCCAAAGGAUGUGCUCUGGGGUAAGAGACUUCCUCUGAGUAAGACUGGGCCUUGUGACAUCUACUGUGGCUGCACAGAUUCCUUUGUGCUCCCUUUGGCUUUUUCGGAGCUGUCUGCAGUGAAGUUCAGGGAAAGCCGACUCUGUCUGGAUGGGUGCUUUUACCCCAUCUCUUACAGCAUUCUUCCCUAGCAGAGUUUUUCACCCUGUUUAUAUAAGGCAGGAUUACUUCGUCUCUCCACACUCUUCGUGUGUGUUGAGGGGGGGGGGUUGCUUUUUGUUUUUUUUUUGCAAGAGAAGUUUGUAUCAAAGGUGUUUGGUGACAGUCUUAUCUUUGAACAGUAAUUUUUUGUAACAGUUUUAAUGAAAUAUAAUUUGCAUGCCAUACCGAGUAUAUGUCACCCAUUCAGAGUAUAUAAAUCAGUGGUUUUCAUUCUAUUCCCAGAGUUGUGUGGCUCUCCUGGCUACGCACUUUGGAACUAUGUCAUUAACUCAGCAAUCCUAGACUGGCCGCUCCUGUUGUCCCAGCUGCUCAGGAGGAUGCAGGACUGCUUGAGCCCAGCAGUUGGAGGCCAACCUGUGCAACAUAGCCAGAGCCUCUCUUUGUGAUUUUCAAAAAAAAACCCUGUACCUCAGCCAUCAUUUCCCAGUCUCCCCUUCCUCUAGUCCAGGGUAACCGUUAUUGUACUUUUUGUCUCUGUAGGUUUGCCAACUCUAGAUGUUUCAUAUAAAUGGAAUCAUAUUACUUUACUGUAUGUGGUUUUUUGUGCCUUCAUUCACAUUGUAGCAUGUAUUAUAACUUGAUUCCUUUUUAUGGAUGAAUACUAUUCUACUUGGUAACUGUAGCACAUGUUAUACAUCUGUUUGUCCCCUGAUGGACAUUUGGAUUAUUUCUAAUUCUUGGCGAUUAUGAAUAAUGAUGUUGUGAAUAUUCAUGUACAAGUCUUUAUAUGAACUUAUGCAUUGAUUUCUUUAGAGUAUAUACUUAGAAGUAGAAUCUCUAUGUCAUAUGGUAGCUGUUUAACCUUUCCAAGAACUGCGUGUUUUCCAUUUCCAGCAGGACUGUAGGAGGGUUCUAAUUCUCUUAUUACUAUUUUUUUUUUUUUUUGAUGCAGUUUUGGGGAUUAAACCCAUCAGGGCCUCACAUAGCUCAGCAUGUUUUAUACCACUGACCUACAUCCCGAGCCUCCCCUCGGGGCCCUGCCCGACUUUUUUUUUUUUUUAAAUAAGGUAGGAAUCUCUCGGUCUUUCCCAGGCCAAUGUUGAACUCCAAACUCACAUGAGCCUCCUGCCUGAGCAUUUUGGAAUGCUGGACCUAGAGGGCUACUGUGCCCAGCUCCUUUAUCUGUUAUUAAAUGUUUGUUUGUUUUGUUUUAUUCAUUUUUUUUUUUUUUUGAGUUAGAGCCUUACUGUGUAGUUCACACUGGCCUUGAACUCACUGUGUAGGCCAGGCGGGCCCCAAACUUGUCAUGAUCCUCCUUCCUCAGCCUCCCCAGUGCUGGGAUUACAGGCAUGUGCCUCCACGCAGAGUAAUAGGUUUUGUUGAUGAAGUCUUUUCCUACACUGUGUCUUUAAGAGUUCUACCUGUUCUUUCUUCCAGCAGAUUUAGUGUUUCUGUUUUAAUAUUGAGAUCCUUGAUCCAUUUUGAUUUUAACAUCUGGGAAGUUCUUGUCAUGUUUGGGCAUCUUGAGGAGGAUCAAGGUGGUUCUCAUUUGAGGGGCAUUGUAUAGGUCCUGCCCACCUGGUGGCAGAUGGGUCUUCGCCUAGAGGGGAAGGCAGGAGUCACAUGUAGAGCUUGGAGAGCAGUGCACCAUCAUCCCUCUCACUGCCAUCUGGGAUGUGACCUUUAAACCUAGGAGAGCUGGAAUGGUAGCUCUGGAAGGAGGUUCUCAGGCCGGGAAGGGCUUUUGUCCAGGAAACACAAGCUGCAAGAGCUUGUGUAGAGCCGGCGUAGGGAGCGUUGGAAGUUCUCAGUUCAGAUCGGGGCACAGCUUUGGUUGGUCGAAUUAAAAAUUGUUUUAAUUGGUACAUCUCUCAGUUACUUUAUAACCUCAGUGAAAUUUUAUGAUUAUUUUCAUUCUCUGGAAAAUGCAUCCAUUCUUAACAAUUGUUUAAAAGCCCUUAAAGGUUUGAAGUUACAGAAAACAUCUUAUUGGGGUCUGCAGAUGUGUCAGUGUUCUCUAUAACACCAAACCUUACAGAACCAACUUAAAGUGCUAUGGAUAUAGGUGACUGCUUUCUAAGCCUCCUAACAUAGGAGGAGUUGCAUUUUCUAUGCUGUGCAUUUGCCCCAAAACAUGACAAGUCAGCCCUCUACUAAAUGAUUUGGAACAUUUAUUAAAUCAUUAAAGUACUUGAAAUCAAAGGGUGAUUUUUUUUUUUUUUUUGUCUUUUUCCUUUUUAUCGGUACCAGGGAUUGAACUCACAACUGUCUGCUUGCAAGGCAGGCGCUAUGCCUCUGAGCUAAAUCCCCAGCCCAAAGGGUGAUGUUUUUUAAAAGAUUUACAACAAGCUGAGCUCUUAAUUCUCAGUUGUUUCUAUCCCUACAGCUGUCAUUUAUGUUUAGUGAUGAUGUAAGGGCGUUUGGUCAUGUGGCUCCUGCCCUCCAUGUGUUGCGCUGGCAUCGUGGUAACCUGGGCCUGAAGGUGGCUGUGCUUACUCUGUAACCUUGGUGCUGCUCUUGCAGAUGUGGAAAGCAUCAGCAGCCUAUGUGUCAUCCAUCACCUAGGAUGACAGAGGAGCUGAUGACUGGGAGACGGACCCUGAUUUUGUGGUAGGAGUCACCAGCCUGCCUGUGCUUUGCGUUUCUUUGAAAGCGAUUUUCCAGUGUUUUGUUCAUGUGUGUGUUUGUGUUCACGGUCGUGGGUGUGGAGUUUACUAGUUGUUUCUCUUUCCAGAAUGAUGUGAAUGAAAAGCACAGAGAUGGGGCACCAAAACCGUGCAAGGGUCUGGGCAAGAGGAUCACAUCAAGUAAGAGCUUCUGCAAUGCUGUCGGGAAUGGGGGCCCCUCCACAGGAGGGGAACAGGCCCCAGCAGGGACAUCUACUGCUGACAGCUAAGGGGGGCAGUCAGGCAUCAGAGUUCCUUUUGCUUAGGGUAUUGACCUAAUGUUCAAUCAGCAGAUGAAUGAAUGUAAGACAUGGCACCUAGGUUUAAUGCAUGCUUUUAUGUAUAUGUGCUUACACGUGUAAUUGGCCACCAAGUUAAAAUGUCCACAGCAGACAGUUUCCUCACUUACAGUUCUGGGACUCCCACUUCUGCAUCUGAUGAUUUUUAGGGCCCACAGUUGCCUAAGUUCUUUCUCUAAAUAGGAGGCUUCUCAAAUCUGAGAUGUCAUUGGAUACUUUAGAUCUUAAACACCCUCCUUUCUUUAAUUAUAAUUAUUACUAUUUUUUUCCUCCCUUUUAUUACUGUCUGAAAAUUAUGGUGCUUUGCAGGAUUUAGUCGCUGGGAUGUAAGAACUGAAUUCCAGGCUUUGAGAAAAGCCUAGAAUAGAAUACAGGAGCUGUAUCAUUGUUUCUGAUCUGGCACUAUCUGAAAUGCCAGCUCUGGGCAGCUUGUUUUCUCUCAGGAAGCGUGAAUAAAAGGGCCUUUAAAACCAUGCUCAGAGGUUGGUUUUAGGCCACACUGGUCAGGAUUAGUUGUCCCUGUCCUGAAUUGUAAAGGCAGCACUGCUGACCUGGUGACCUGCUUUGAAACAUGGGGAAAGUUCCUGUCUUGCUUGGCCAUAGUAUCUGGUAGAGGAGGAUUCAGUAAAUCCCCUGGAAAGACAGAGCCUACAUGGUGAUAUUUGAGAAUAUCACCUUUUUAUUUUUUGUAUUUUUUUAAUGAAACAAAGUCUUACCGUGUUGCUUAGGCUGGACUUAGGUGAUCGUACCGCAUGGGAGCUCUUUAGUCUCGAGUGUUGGUCCCUCCUGGGCUUGCUCAGCCCACGCCUCCCACAGAACUGAGUUGAGAAGUCAGAAGGCUAGCAGAGGGGAUGAGAUAGUGCUGGCAGGAGCACCUGCCCCAGGCUGUUUGCCACGGGGUUACACAGAAUCCCAAGUUGGUUAGGUCAUCUGGACCUCUUCUAUUCUUGGUGGCCUCAGCCUGUUGGGCAGGGAGUAUGGACUGUCUGGGAUGCCAGCAUCUGGAUGAAUUAAGGUCCCAUGAGGAAAGUGUGGGGAUGAGAUCGUUCUUAGCACCCUGCGGCUCUUCCCAGGGUUCUGGAAGGACUCUUUUUCUCUUGCUCAUGGAGGGUCAGGUAAUUUCCAGGCCUGGUAUGUAUUUUAGCCACAUUCUUGUGAUGAUUGUCUUUGUGUUGAUGGUGUGGGCCUUGCAUCUUCCGGGCAGAAGGGCUGCAUGCCCAGGUGGCUGUUGUGCUGCUCUGGUUCUCAUGGUGACAGCUCCUUCCUGGCCUGCCAGAUUUUGACUAAAUCUUGUGAUGUGCUUCCUGCCUUUCUGUAUUUAAAAUGAAAAGUGACUCUUUGGUGAUAAAUUCUAAAUGUCUGUCUUGACGGGUAUACAAUGCUUGAGUACCUUAAGUAAAGACAGACUGUCAGUACUAGGUAUCUUGGAGGCCUUGGGGAUCUGGAGGAAGGGACCUUGACUUUAUUCCCUCUUCUGCCUCCUGAUGGUGUUUGCAGGACUUGUGUUCCUAACCCAUUUGUCUACUAAAAUUAGCGGCCUUUUUCCAAAUGAAAUGGAGUUCAGGUUUUAACUGGGUACCUUUGGGCCAGAGUUGGAUGAGGCCACGGUGUGCAUUUGGUGCAGCGUUCCUCCUCCCAUCCAUUUCUUCCCAAGAGCCGCUGAGGUGGAUGUCCCAGCUGUCAGGAUAGUCAGGAAGGUAUAUAAAAGGUAGACAGUUGGUAAGCGCCAAACAAAGGAAAGCUUUCAAGUUUGCAAAGGUGAUUUUGCCUGUCUUUAUUUAUCCCAUUGCAAAGCAAGGAUGUACAUCGUUUUAGAGUUUUUUCUCUUUGUUGUUACCUUUCGUAAGUAUACACAAGCUAAGAGAGAACGUCUUUCAAGAACAUCAGACUCUCAAGGAGAAGGCACUUGAGCCAGGACCAAAGCCUCCCAUGGCUAUGGGGGAAAUUGGGCGCGGAACAAGACAGAAUGGACAAAGUAAGUGGGCGACAGCUAUCUGUGCUGGGCACCUGGCUGUGUGGGCUGCUUGUGGUGGGCCAAGUAGUCCUCACGUUUUUUCUUUAGAGUAAAUGUGUCAAGUUGGUUUGUCAGGGGUGAAAUCUGCUCAAAGUGGGCCUCUGUCAACUGACCCCACUCACAAAGCUGUCUGGCUUUUUAUUUAUUUAUUUAUUAUUAUUAUUAUUUUUUCCUUUUUUUUGUUUGAUCUUUUUCCUCUUUAUCGGUACCAGGGAUCGAACUCACAACUGCCUGCUUGCAAGGCAGGUGCUUAUGCUGCUGAGCUAAAUCCCCAGCCCCCUCUCUGGCUUUUUAGAGGUGUUUUGGAAGUUCGGAGAGGUGCUGGCAAAUGGCAGAUGUGUAGAGAGACCCUGAGGGGAGAUUAGCUCAACUUUGUAAAUGGGACAAAGUCCAGAAACAGCUGAGCUUCAGAUGUCCUAGUCAGCACUGCCUGUGGUUCCGGCUUAUGGCCCAAGUUACUUAUUUCAUAGAAUAAACCAUACCUGUGGGCCCCUUAUCACAUCAUUCCUGGAAAUUGUGCUAGCAUGUAGCUGACGUCCCAUGUGGCUUUACUGACCUGUGCACGUAACAUCAGCACCAUCCAGGUGGCUCCUGUGAGCAGUCCGUGAUGGGGCCAGUCUGCAGACAUCGAGCAGAUGCUCAUGGUAGCUGCUGAUGAGCACAGCCACUUUUACGGCACUGCAUGUUGUUCCACAUAAGAGCAGGCGAGUGUUAGCUCGAGACCGCUGGCUGGUUUCUUCCUGGAGAAAAAACAGUGCAGAUAGCAGCACAUUUGCACAUCUGUCGUAAAACAAGGCUGAGUUUUGCAGACAGCCUUGCAGCAGUGAAUUUUCAGGUCUGAGCAACAUGGUAUUGUUCAGACCGGACAGGUGUGUUGCGUGUACUGUGGACAGAGGUGAAAAGAUGAGCUGGGGUUAGAUUCUGGAGGGUAAUUCCAUACCGCUCCUUCUGUUGCAUGGAUCGAAUUAAACAUUUGAGCUGGGCAUGGAAUGUCAAAGCUGUGUCAGAGUGAACCAGAUAUCACUCCACCAGCAGAUCAGACUGGGCUAUGGGGGUGGGCUGGGAGCACCCUAACCACAUCCAGAAAUAACAUGAAGCUGGAGGCUGACUAGGUGCCAUCUGCAGGAAAGAGACAUGGACAUUUGCUGUGUCACUUGUGCUUCUCCCACAGAGAUGUCCUAAUGCUGAAAUAGGUAGUGUGUGCAAAAGAAUCUCCUGGGGCUCUGGAUCCGAGUCUGGUAGGUAGCCUUUCAAAGCAGCAGAGCAAAGUGGCAGACAGAACCUUCCAUCCAGUAGGUGGCUAGGCUUGUGCUCACUGGGGGUCAUGGGGUGUUAGUGCAAAGAGAGGCUGACUCUGGAAAUUGGGCCCCCAGUUAGGGUUAGGGAAAAUGAUCCCAGUUUAUCCAGCACGAGUCUGAUUUAAAAUGAUUUCCCUGCUAUUUCUUGGUCUGUGUCUGUUGUUGGCCUGAGUCCUGCUCUUCCUUGAACCUCCAGCUUGGGCUUUUUCUAGCCCGGAAGCUUCCCUAAAGAGCCCGUCUCUUCCUUCUGCCUCACCUUCCCACCCUGUGGCUCCUCCUUCAUGCUGGCCUUGGCUUCGCUGUCAGCUGUUGCUGCCACAUUGUUCUGUGGUUUGCAGUGAGACUCUUCUCUGGCCUGCUUCUCAGGGCCAGCACUCAUCAUUCUUACCUGUGGGUGGCUUGGUGUUGUGCAGGGUGCUCAGGGACUUGUGGUGAGUGUAGAGAAUCACGUUUUGUGGCCGACACACACACACACACACACACACACACACACACACACACACACGCAGGUCCUGCUGGCUCAAAGAAUCACUCACUCACUUCUGAGUGGGGCUGAUAAUAAUCCUGCAGCAAUGGACCUGGAGAGGGGCGUUGCUUCUGCUGCUUCUUAGUGCUGUUGUUUUCUGGGCCUACAUAUCUAAGAAUAGUCAGCUUUCAGCUCACAUGAGCACCAUGAGACCAGCCUGUUUUCAGAAAGAACUUACAGUUAACCUGGGAAUAAGUGCUUAAACUCUUUGUAACUUGUCCUGUCUAGAAUCUGGAUAAAUAUAAGUGAGGUCCUUCCUUGUGCAAAGAAUUGAGGAACUUGUGACACACACUGUCAGAAUCAUAUUUUGAGCAAGCACAAGAGCGGUCAGGUCUUUGGUUUUGCCAUUUUCUGAGCACAUGGCCAGCUUCUGGCUUCCUGUUUCUCUGGUUUCUGUUGCUUCCUAUACCUCAGCCUUCGAGAUGGAGCUCCACUUGCACAGCUGUGUAAUAGCAAGUGUGAUUCUGCCAGUAGAAGAUUAAAGAUGCUUUAGGAGCAUGUCUGUUUCAGUCAGAAAGCUGUAGCUGUUGCCAAAUAUAAUUAUCCUGGCUGUAUUUUUAGGGUUCUUUUCAUGUAACUUUCUGAUUAAAAGUCGUGCUGGAGAAUCCCUUUGUCAUAGUGGCCUCUUGCCACUCCCUCACUGACAUUUUGUGAGAUCCUAGAGGCCAUGCAUGGGGUGUGUUAUGGUUUAUGUCAGGAUCCCCCCCCCCCCCCAGAGCCUCAUGCAGUCAUAGGGUUUGUUUUGGAAGUGACUGUAUCUAGAGUGUGUGAUGCUGGGAUACUAUGAGGCUGUGUGAUACUGGUUGGUUUGACAGCGCCCUAAUCCUAGCAGCCUAGAGUAUAAAAGGGUCAGAAAGAUGCUAUUAAGGCUGCUUGCUUGAUUUAGCUAUCUUCUGCUGCUCUGAACUGUUGCCCCUGUGCCAUGUGCAAUCCUUUCUUGGAACCAGCUAUGGACUGAAACCUGUACAAUCUGUGAGCUUUCUUCCUUUUACUUUGGGUGUCGGGUAUUUUAUCUCAGCAACAAGAAAAAUAACUUAAGAUUGGCCACGUGCCGAGCCUCAUUGAUGUGUUGAACGCUGCCAAAGUGGCUAGACCCUGCAUCUGCCAGGUAAUCUGGCAUAGGUGGCUAAGAUCAGGAUGUGUACCAAUGGGGAGUGGGCAUAUGUGUUUGAAUGUGUGUGUGUCCUUCCCAUAUCUGUCACUGUGUUGCCUGUGCUUAGCACCCUUGGAGGGUUCCAGGGGACUAUGCACUGUGGGAUUAGCUCUGGAAGCCUGGGUCUUAACUGUGUUCAACAUGGGGAACCAUUGGGCCCAAGACAGCAUUGUGGUCACAGGAUCUGUCAAGGUGGCUGCACUGGGUGGAAGAAUCAUAGACACAACCAGAGACACUGUGCUGGUGAAGAGACACAGCUGGGUUCCCAAGAAUGUCAUUGCUGGAGGGGGCUGCUCUUGAGGCUGGGGUUUGCAGACCUCAAGGUGAAGCAUGCCAAGACCCCAGACUCUGCUUCCUUACUUUACUACCUGGUGGACAGGUGACAUACAGAGGAUUCCUGAACUUGUGCUCCCAGUAUGAUGGGGGCUGACAGUGUUGGUGACUGCGACCCUGGAGUGAGCCAGUUUGGGUGACAACAGCUGGUACCCUGUCUACAUAGUAUGCAUACUUCGGUGUUGAUUCUGAGUCUGCAUUAUUACUAAAAUAGACCUUUCUAUGCUUUAGUGUAUUGACAAAAUAAAUAUUUUUUGUCCUGAUUUGUAGUUCUUAUAGUAUGAAAAAGCCUUUUUUCAAGAGAGUAAAUGUAUUGCCAGUAAUGUCCAUGUAAACAGCUCUUCGGAAUUGUGUGGUCAGCUGCCAGCAUCUUUUUUUUCCCAUGCCCUCUUGCAUCCGAAGCUCCACUAUGGGUGAGGGUUUGUGGUGUGGGAGCCCUGCAGCUGUAUUGGAGGAGCCCUGCACCAGGGACUCGAUGGCUCAGACUGCAUUUCCUCCCAGGAUUCCCACCGUGGUUGCGUGGAGGAAAUGCCUGCACGUGGGUUGUUAGUGUUGCGCUAGGCGUGAGUCUGUGGUAUUUUAUUUUUGUACUCUCUUCCAGUCAGCUGUUGGCUAUGAAUAUCAGUUGAAACUUGCUAAGCACUGCUCUCAAGUCGACUGGGUCUGGGGUUUUGGAAGCUAGUUUGGUGUCCAGAUGGACAGAGUUGACCAGAAUGCAUCGACCUUUGAAGAUGUGGCACAGGUAUCUUCUGCCUCUCAGAAGACUGUCCCUGUUGAAGCUGGUGAUGACGAAGUCUCCUUUGACCCCGAUGACAUCAUCAGCGACAUAGAAAUAGUUGAUGAUGGCUGGUGGCGUGGCGUGUGCAAGUGCUGAUGUUGUGGGAGGCGAGGCCCACUAUCAGUGAAGCAGGCCCUUCAGGAGGAAGUGAAAGCCGUGGAUCUGGCUCCCCUUCACAACCAGAUGCAGAUUCCCAUUUUGAACAGCCCAUGAUGUCCACGCUAGAAGAAACAUACCUUUCUCAGAGCACAUUGAUAGAGACUCAAGAAACAUUGGCUUUGACCCAGGGGGAGUUACUCGAGGUUGGUCAUGAGAGAGAUUCGUUGCAGACACAACUCAAUACUGCGCUUCCACAGACAACCUUGCCUUGGCGUUUCCAUCUUCCCGUCUCAGCCUCCGUUAAUGUGGACGUUGCAGGCCGGCUCCAGCAUGCAUGACUUGGCUUCGUUGUUGUUUUCCUACUUAAUGCUUGCUUUCUAUUUCAUUACUGAGAUCUUUUGCCUUUGUUCAUUUUUCUAGUUUCACAAGGGAAAGCGCGAACGCAGUCCCCCACUACCACAAAUUAUGCAGCCGAGUUUCCCGCAUUUGGGGAAAUCGCAGGGGUCAGCACAUCCGGAGUGCAAUGGAUGAGCCUCACCCUGGGAAAACCACCUUCGUGAUCAUGGCAAUGGCCCAGAAUGAACAAAUGGAGGAAAGAAUCACUACGCUGGAAAAACACUACCUUGCUGCACAGCCUGAAGCCACAUCUGUGCAUGACCUCAGUGACGAACUUGAAAAUGAAAUUGCAAAUAAAGAUUCUAUACAUCGACAGGACGAAAGCCCAAGGCUAGGACCCGCUGCCUUGUCUCAGACCUGUCUACAAGUGCCAAGAAGUCCCCUCGGUCUGCCCAGUUAAACCGAAGUGAAGAAGGAACCAUCCCAUACCGGUCUUUGUCUGGCCGAUGUUUGCUGUUCUUAGACUCACCAUUAAGCUAAUCUUCACGACCAGCCCAGGACAAGUCUCCUCUAAGUCACCAGGCUGCAUGCUGAGGAGAGAUGACCAGUGAACAAGACCAACCUACCGUGUCUACCGUAAGUCAACAGACUGCUUCCUUUGCUGAGAAAUUCUUACUGCCAAAACCAAAAUAUCCAAAUCACACUCAAGUCCACUGAACAGAGGUAAGCUCUGUGGCCGGCUGCUGGUGAAAGUGCGGCAUCUCACUUUGGGCAGGCACAGAUCAUGGCCAUUCCGUGCAGCAUUACUGUGUGGAUCACUUCCUCACUUAAAAAAGAGCAAGCCACAGUUCCACUGGGCCAAGGAACAAAUCAGCAACAGAGUGAGGAUCUGUACCCGUGUGCUUACUAAAUUACCCUUCUGCUCAGCCCCAUAGAGAAGCUCACACACAGCUGCUGAGGACAAUCACCACUUGGCACCUGCGGCAGCACUGCCCCACAAGUGCACCACCAGGAAGGCAGGAAGCAUGAAGCGGGCAUGGCACAGGGCCAGAGGCAGCAGGCAUUAGGGGGAGCUUCUAGAUCGACAAAAAGAAAGGCCCCCAUCCCCACUGCUCCUGGAGCACUGUUUUUACCCCCAAGAUUUACUCUCAGAGGUAGACUCCCAGCAGACCAGAGCAUCUUGACCAAUCCAGGCCCAAGGGAGAAGUGGUCCAGGUUUUGAAAUCAAACCAGACUUAACUUAACUAUACCUGCUCGGCACAUCAUGUGAUCUAAGCUUCAGUUUGCCCAUCUGUAAAUGGGGUAAGCACAGCAACUGGUUUCUCAACAGGGAUGUGAUUGUGGACUAAAUAUAGCAACAAAAUGGCCAAGCACUGAGUUUGGCACCUGGCAGAGAGCAGUGCUUGCUAAGUUUUAGCCAUCCAUAUCAGAAAAACUGGUUUUCCUCAAUCUAAAGCCUAUGGCUCUGCUUUAAUCACUCCCUCCUUUCAAAUCCUAAAUUCUAUGUCUAUUAUACACAUGCAUUCAAUGGUUAGAGGCAAAAGCACUGAACGUAGCAAACACUGACAUCUGUCCCCAUGAUCCAUGGAUGGCUGAUUGCCAAGAGAACAGUAACUUGUGAUAUGGCAUGUCAGUUUAAACAUUUCCAAUAAAACAUCAGUUAUUCAUUGCAAUAUAAUGACAACAUUACACUUAUGUGUGUGACAUAUAAUACUCAUCCAUGCAUUAGGGAGAUACAAAGCUAUGCUCAGUUACUGGACAAUUAAGCUUUCUAUGAUAUUUCCUUAAGUCGCUAGGCUGACAAGACACAUGCAAAGAAAUAGAGACCAGAUUUAAUAUUAAAAAUUCAAGGAUCUACACAAGCAAAUAUAUUACAAUAUGAAGGACAAGACAGAAAUAAGGGAGACAGGAUUUAGAGGAAAUAAUAACUUGAAAUCCAAUAAUUUUUUAUUACAAAUUUAUUUAUCUAUUUAUUUGUCUUUUUCCUUUUUAUCGGUACCGGGGAUCAAUUGCCUGCUUUAAAGGCAGGUGCUUAUGCUGCUGAGCUAAAUCCCCAACCCCUUAUCACAAAUUUAAAUCUAAGUUAUCCAAGGUUUACUAGAAAACACUAUAAAUUACUACUCAAACAGCAAAUUCUGUUUAAACACAGGCAAUUUAAAGCAUGGCACUGUAUAGAACAAAGGGCCCUGAUAAUCACCUACUCUCUAAUAUUCCCAUGAUGACAAGAUGUUACAGCAACAUCUAUUAUAAAACUGAACAGCCAGGCAUGGUGGAGUGCACUUAUAAUCCCAGCAUUUGGGAAGCUAAGGCUGGAGAACUGCCAGGAGUUCGUGGCCAACCUGCACUACAUGAGUUCAAAGCCAGCCUGCACUGCAUGGCGAGAUCCUGUCUCAGAAAAACACAAAAAACUGAACAGACUUAUUUUUAGUUAAUCAUUUUUUGUGCAAUACAGUAAAAUCUUCACCUAGAAUUUGAUUUACAACUUCUCAAAAUAUAUCAUUUAUCCCCACGUGCAGUGGCAUACACAUUAAAUCACAGCACUCUGGUAGGCUGAGGCAGCAAGGCUGCCAAGUUUGAGCUCAGCUGGGCAAUUUAGCAGGAUCCUGUCUCACAAUAAAAAAUAAUACUGAAAAAAAAGGGUCAUGUGUGUAUCUCAUGCACAGGCCUGGAUUCCUUCCCAGGUACUGUGGAAUACAAACAGCAGAAUGGAAAAAAAUAAAAGAAAGCUAGGCAUCCUAAAAUGCGUAACAAUAAAGGCUAGCCCAGUACUAGGUGGGAGGUAUUUUAAUUAAAAAGUAGUCCAUUAAAAACUAUAGCAUAUGCCCAAUAAGUUGAUGAGAUUUAGAAUUCUGAUUAUAAUCAAUAAAAUCUGAUUCGUAUUGUCUGUAUAAAGUUUCCAUUAAUUUUAUACUCAGGAGUGGCCCCUCCUCUUGCUUCUGCAGUAUGCAGGGUUGAAUCCAGCUGGGGCCCUCAACAAACUACAUUCCCAGCCAUGAUUAUAUUUUUAUUUUGACACAGGACAUCGAUAAACUGCUCAUGCUGGCCUCAGACUUAUAAUCCUCCUUCUUAGCUUCCCCAGUAGCUGGCAUUACCACUGCAUGUGCCACUGCACUAAGCCCAGAUUAUUUCUUAACAAAGCAAAUACUUCACUCAUGAAUCAUGCAGAUCCUACACAAUGUAAGGAAAAACACUCAACCAAUUAUAUCCUGCUUGUAACCACGUUGACAAAUUAUAUAUUAAAUAUAAUUGAUCACUACUGAGCAAAAUACAUGUAUAAUGACAAAAACCCCAAACCCCACUAAUAGUCAUAAUCCAGCUCAGACUCAUAGGUGCUUGCCUGGUUACCUGUGCAGAGCCAUCACAGAAUGGGGAGGGGCUGGAAGGGGAGCUUGAUGGACAAACUACAAAUUGAUAGGGCCCUGGGGCCUGGAUUAGAAUUGAAUCUGGAGAUGGCUAAAAUAAAACAAACACAAGGGUGGUACAGGAAAUCCAAACCAAUAAUGGAAGCACACAGACUGUCAGCCAGCAUACUGAAUUAGAGAACCAGGAAAAAAGAGUUUUCUUCCAUGGUUGUUUGUAGUACUGGAAAUAGAAGCCAGGGGUACUCUAACACUGAGCUAUAGUCCCAUCAUUUUUUCUUUUUAAUUUUGAAACAAGGUCUUGCUAAAUUGUGCAGCCUACCCUUGACCUUAUGAUGGUCUGCAUCAGUCUCCUGAGUAGCUAGAAAGAUAGGGUUCACCCACUAUGCUUGGGCUACUAAGCCCUUUUUGAGUCAGUGUCUUCCUAAAUUGCCCAGGCUGACCUUAAACUGGCAAAACUCCCACUUCAGUCCACAAAUAGCUGGGAUUACAGACGUGUUCCUGCACUUCUUUUACAAAUAUCUGGAAAGAAGGACACAACUGAAAAAUGAGAUUGUCAAAAAGAUUAAAAUACAAUACCAGGCUUUGUGCCACAUCUUUAAUCCCAGCACGUGAGAGGCUGAGGCAGGAGAAUUGCCAUGAGUUCAACGUCAGCUUGACUUACACCAUAAGAUCCCUGUUUCAAAAAAACCAAGAAAUAAUAAAAUAGAAGUUUGAAAAGAAGAAAAAAGGGCCAGGGAUAUAGCUCCAUGGCAUAGCACUUGCCUGGCAAGCACAACGUCAUGAGUACAAUUCCCAGUACCAAAAGAAAAAGAAAAAGAAAAAAGGUUUGGUGAGUGGUUUGGUGCUUGCCUAGUAUGUGGGAGGCCUUUGGUUCAAUCCCAAUUCUGCCAAAAAAAAAAAAAAAAAAAAAAAAAGGAAAAGAAAAAUCGUUUAAAAGAUUGCUCAGUUAGUUAAUGGUAUAAAUUAUAAAUACAUCCAAGUGUCACACAACAGAUGGGUGACACUUAACAUUCCACUAAAAUGACUUGCUUAAUUUGAUUAUAUGCUGGCAAAGAAUGCCACUAAAAAGUAAAAUGUACAGCAACAGAAAAAAGAAAAAGAUACAAGUACAUGUGAAAAGCAGAAUGUUGUAAAUACAAUUUCACAUGAAAUGAGAUCUCAUAAGCAAGAUAAGCACCAAGACUAAAUUACCCAAAAAGUAUUCACAUCUUAGAGCUGACGUACCCUCCAAAAUUCAAUACCAUACCUCUGAGCAUGAGGAAAAUAUGGAAAAAAUGCUCCCUUUGCCACAGUCCCAGAGAGUACUCACAUCUCUUUAAGCCAGCUCAUAGCACAAAGAGUACUGAAAAAUCCUUGUUUAAGGAGUGCAUGUACUUGAGAAGCAGAACAGAAGAAGAACACAUGAUGACAGCCAAGAAGCUGCAAAGAUGAAGAAUCCACACGAGGGUGGAGGACAAACUCCCACAACGUAAGUGGGAAAAGCUGGGCAACUUCUCCUCUACCUUUUUAAAGACCACAGGAAAGGAGAAAUUUCCCAACCACAUGCAAGGGGUAUGUCACAAUCUGAUAGCAGUACUGUGUUGUAUUAUUCAUAUUUAUACUCAUUCAACAAUACUAAGGCUGAAAAUAACUGAUCAAAGAAAGGAGGAAAAAAAAAAAGAAUCACUAUCCUAAACACUCCAAGGACUCAGCAUUAUGACAUCCCUGUAAUAUUUAUUAUUACUUACUUCACUAACGUCUCGUUGCAAUUUUGUGUUCAUCUCUUCAGCCUUGAUGAGAUCCUUUCUAGCUGUGUCAAGAUCUUCUUCCAGCUCUGACACAUGGCUGGAAAGUGUAGCCAGGCGCUCCUUCAUCUGACUCUGCUCUUUCGACUGUUUAUCUAUGACUUCUGGGAGCUCAAUUAUUUUGGCAAGGUCUUCCUCAUGGCUUAGAAGCCAGCAGAAGAUCUUUGAUGGGUAAAAUGGACACUCUUAAAUAACUUCAGUGUACUACCAAAUAAAAUACUUUAGGGCAUAGAGACUAUCAAAAUGGAUUUAUGCCAUCUGUUGGAUGAAAGGACUCUCACAAUCACUUUAGCUGCAAGCAGGCCAUUCCAGCAACAGCAUUCAAACAGCAUCACACACGAACCAAGAAGCAUAAGAAAUCAGCAACAGAACAAAGAGAGAGCUCAAGGACUUACCUUUCCAUUAGUGCUUGGUGUAUCUUCUUGUUAUGGUUUAUGUCAAGCACUCCAUCUGUUAGUGUUUUAUUCUGAGUAUUCUGAUCUUUAAGAAUCAUUAGCUACAAUCAGAAAUUGAGUAUGAGACUACAAUAACUUAUGGAAGAGUAAUGAGUAAAGACAGCAAAAUUCCAUUUGGAAAAACAGUUCUACAGUACUGAACAUAGUAUAAAAAAGACAGUACAUGGCAAAGCUGUCCAUCCUGAAUAGAACCGGAUUACUAGAAACAGAAUGUACUCACUGCUUGACAAGGAAUUUAGAGAUUCUUGCAAUCUGAAAUAAAAGUCUAACCCCAAACUACGACAGGCUUCAUACUGUUUAAAAUAAAAUAAUUUCCCCUUUUCAGGACUAGGAUGAUGUCCCACAAUUACUUCCUUGUGCUUGGCACCAAGUUCCUCUUCUAACAAACUGCACCUUUCCAGUGCUACUCGAAAUCGCUCUUGCACCUGAAAAGUUGAGUUUUUAUAUGCAUACGCACACUUUCUGUAUAGUUAUCCUGAUAUUGAUGAAACGCAUUUCAUAAAGUACUUUCAAUGUCUUUCAUUGCUAAUAUUGUCAAGAAAAUGUCCUUGUUAAUGGCUUUAAAUGUUAAGGCUGGGAAACUCUUGUUCCUAAAUAAAUGACCACUAUCCAGUUCUUAAUGGGAAGUCAAUAUUCACAAGUAAUCAACUGAAGACUCACAUUCCAGUUACUACUUGUUAAUCAGACAGAACAUUGCCUUUUAAUAAAGAAGGUCUGUUUACAAGAAUUCAAAAAGUUAACAAAUGGUAAAGCUAAACAAAUACAUGCAAAGCCUGCCAUGAACACAGCAAGUGUAAGAACCCAGAACCGCUAGCGUGGCUGAUGUACCUUUUGGUCCAGGGCCUUGUGAUGUUCAAAUAAGGACGUCAGUGCUUUCAGAACUUCCAUCUCAAUGGACACACCUGCAGGACACUGCACCUGCUGUUUCACCAUAGUCAUCCUGAAAGAGUUCAUGCCUGGAGACAAGGCACUCCAGAUGUUCCAGGAGCAGCUCAAACCAGGCCAGAGGGGGCAUGUAAAGAGCACCUUCAAUUUCACAUUCAAAUCCUUUACAAUCUCAUGGUCAAACAAGUUCAAAUUCCUUCAAUUCAGUAGAGUUAGAUAAGUUUCCCUCAAUUGUAUUAGAAUGUCAUGAAUUCCCAUCACUAAUUUAUUAGCAAGAAGGUCUCAUGGGGGGCUGGGGAUUUUUUGAUCCCUCCCUCCCCAAGGUUACCCAGCAGGAUGUGGACUCUGUCCAGUGGCUUCUAUGCCCCCCCACCAAUUAGUAGCUGACUAAGCCCAAGGCUACGAAGGUGGCAUACCUUCCAGGGGCCAAGACAGCCUCUACUGACAUACUGGGAAUGGCCACUUGUCCUACCACUGCGGUACUAAGGUUUUCCCUAUGUUCCUAUAUUUCUGUGUUUCAAGUGUUACUUGAAAGCUUCCUCAGGAUCUGUUGAAAAUCCCCUUCUAUAUUUGCAGCUACUGAGACUCUGGCACCACGCUACCCCAAGCCAUUGGGCCUGCAGAACCAAUGGCCCUCCUCUGCUUGUUCAGAACUCCGCAGUUCCAGACAAGCUGGGCCUCAGGGACACUGCGCCCACCUGCCCCUUGGAAGCUCCACAGCUCUUCAACCGCAGCCGGGUUAGGGUACUCACCACAGGCCGCAGUGCCUCAGGAGCCUGUGAUCCCUCCCUGCUUGCAGAGAUAUUCAGUCCUCCAUACAAAGGAAGGGGCUUCUGCAGGCACUCCAGAUCUGCCCAGCUCCUCCUCUGCACACCAAUGGCUAGGCGUGGCUGGGCUCGGGGGAUAGUGUAGGCCCGCCCACCCGUCGGGAGCUCAGCAGACCUCCAAGUGCAGCUGGGAUGGGGAGACGGAUGUAGUGGUCUCUAACCCGCUGCUCCACUUCACUGCACCCGGAAGCCUGGGGCGUCCGGAACAGUCUGAGAUUUAGGCAGAGUGUGCUGAGCACUUACCACAGGCCGAGGUGCCUCAGGAACCUGCAAUCCCUCCCUGCUUGCAGAGAUAUUCAAGACCAAUAAAACUUAAAACAUUGUAAACAUUACAGGACUUCCAAAGGAGAUAAUAGUCAAACCAGAAUGGGCAUCUUAGUGAAUCUUAUUGCCUUCAAAGUAGUUGCCUAUACCCUCAAACUUGAUACUAUCAUGCAGAAUGGAACAGAGUCUAAUCAGUCAAAACAAGAUGGUGGGAGUAUUACAGGACUUCAAAACAAGUUAAUAGGGAAAUCAAAAAAGUUACUAUAAUAUAUCCUGCUAAUUUUUAAAAUUUUUCCCCUUAAUUAAAAAAACCAUAAAAAAUAACUAAAUAAUUUUUUUAAUGAAUAUGGGAGAGAUUGAGAUAAAAGAGGACAUACAAUAUAACAAUACAGGUCAAAGCAUGACUUUCAGCAACCUAGUGCUUCACCACCAAAUAACCCGACUUAAUAGUAGUUACCAUAGUGUCUGUGUUUUUCCUUGAAAUAUUUGAAUAUAACUUCAUACACUAUAGCUUCAAAUAUUUCCAUAUCAAGAAGCCCAGAACAAAGCCUUUCCAAUUAGUAAGUGAAAACUUUAUAAGGCUUCAAGGCCACAUAAUGGGGAAUCAUGAUUACCACAUACUUUUAUAUAUUUGAAUAAUUACUUACAUCAGGGAAACUAUUCGGUAUUCACACAUGCGAGAUUGAUUUAUUUCACUCAUGAAUAUGGUCUCAAGCUGUGCCCAUUUAUUGAUAAAUAUCUCAGUGUGAAGUGUUAUGUACUUUUAAUGAACAAUAUUUUCUGUUAUAAUUUAAAUGUACUGAAUAAAUAUCAAUUUUACUGCU